rnacentral:rRNA from 1 species
AUACGGAGGGUGCGAGCGUUGUCCGGAUUUAUUGGGUUUAAAGGGUGCGCAGGCGGUGCGUUAAGUCAGUGGUGAAAUCUUCCGGCUCAACCGGGAAACUGCCAUUGAUACUGGCGCACUUGAGUACGGACGAGGUAGGCGGAAUUUAUGGUGUAGCGGUGAAAUGCAUAGAUACCAUAAAGAACACCGAUAGCGAAGGCAGCUUACCAGACCGUAACUGACGCUCAGGCACGAAAGCGUGGGGAGCAAACAGGAUUAGAUACCCCGGUAGUCC